GGGGCUGUGGCUCAAUGGCAAAGCUUCUGCUUUGUAUGCAGAAGGUCCUAGGUUCAAGCCCUGGUGGUUCCA